rnacentral:misc_RNA from 1 species
GGAAGGAUCAUUAACACGUAUCCACGUACCAACCCCUCGUGCACCUGUUGUCGCCUCUCCCUGCUGUGACUGGUUGGAAACGUUUGGCUCGAUUGAGUGGGACUCGCCCGCGAGGCGCGAGUCGCGGCCGAACGAACACUGGUGCGUGCUUCCGUCAGGAAGCGCACACGUACAACUUGGAACAGUCAGGCUUUCUUUCUUAGCGCGAGCGAGCUCCAUUCAAGCUCGCUUGCGUUGGGAGCCCACCUUCACACCUGUCACCCCCUUUUUGCUAGUUGACUUUUUUUAUGUGUCGCUGUGCGAGAAUUUCGGUUCUUUGCGGGCUCACACGUUUGAUUAUUUGAACGUUAAAAAUACAACUCUUAGCAAUGGAUAUCUUGGUUCUCGCAACGAUGAAGAACGCAGCGAAAUGCGAUACGUAAUGCGAAUUGCAGAAUUCAGUGAAUCAUCAAAUCUUUGAACGCAAAUUGCGCUCUUGGGUAGCCCUAGGAGCACGCCUCUCUCAGUAUCGGUUCAACCUCUCUCAGCAGCGUGGGCAUGCACUUGCUCACGCGUUGGCUGGAACAUGAGAGUCUGUCGCCGCGUGCGGCAGUCUCUUGAAAUGCAUGGAGUGAUGCGCGUGUCCCCCUGUCCGUUCAAGCCAACACUCGUGUUUGCUUGAUCUAGUGGAUGGCGACUGUCGCGCUCGAGUGACGUGAAUACUGACCGCUUGGUCUCCUUUUUUACGUGUGUCUCGAGCCGAUACCUCAAAGUCGCCGCCUGCGAACGCGGGGGGCAAAGCCUCAUGUGCCGUGGCGUCAGGCCACAAGCGGCACUCGUCGUGACACUACUGUGUUCCGACGCGUGUCUGAAAUUUGAUCUGAGAUGAAGCGAGACAACCCCCUGAAUUUAAGCAUAUUAAUAAGGGGAGGAAAAGAAACUAACAAGGAUUCCCCCAGUAACGGCGAGUGAAGCUGGAAGAGCUCAAUUUGAAAAUCGAUUUCCUAAGCGGGACAUCGAGUUGUAGCCUAGAGACGUACUAUCAGCUGAAACCUGGGUAUAAGUUCUUUGGAAUGAGACACUAGAAAGGGUGAGAGUCCCGUAUAGGAUCCAAAGCUUUCAGCGUACGAUGUAUGUUCUUCGAGUCGAGUUGUUUGGGAUUGCAGCUCUAAAUGGGUGGUAAGUUUCAUCUAAAGCUAAAUAAUGGCGAGAGACCGAUAGCGAACAAGUACCGUGAGGGAAAGAUGAAAAGAACUUUGAAAAGAGAGUUAAAAGUACUUGAAAUUGCUAAGAGGGAAGCGCUGUCAACCAGUGCUAUGCGUCCUUCAUCGCUGUUUGCCCCACUGGCAGUUGCUGGCAGUCUUUAACGCUGCUCGCGGCUGCGAAAGGGAGGCAGGCAGUUUAGGAGGGCGUGUCAGUCAAGAUCCAUUCGAUGAGUGGGAGAAGGGAGCGGGAAAGGUAGGACACUCGUGUCUGUUAUAGACCCGCUCCUCUACCUCGCGUUGGAUGGAGGAAGGAAUAGUGCGCCGCUUGCGGCUUGGCCCCGUGCACCUAUGCGCUUAGCUGUUUGUAUAGCAAUGCUAUCCCUGCGGCGCGUGCGUCUAUUGUGUGCGACGGCUCUAUGUGCUAUCACGAUCUUGUACGAAAUGGUUGUCAUCGACCCGUCUUGAAACACGGACCAAGGAGUCUAACAUCUAUGCGAGUAUUUGGGUGCCAAACCCUGAUGCGCAAUGAAAGUAAAGGCAGCCUCGUGCUGCUGAGGUAGGAAUCCGGUCACACGGAGGCACUAUCGACCGAUCAUCACUUGUGAAAGAUUUGAGUAAGAGCAUAUCUGUUGGGACCCGAAAGAUGGUGAUCUAUGCCUGAACAGGGUGAAGCCAGGGGAAACUCUGGUGGAGGCUCGUAGCGAUACUGACGUGCAAAUCGUUCGUCUGAUUUGGGUAUAGGGGCGAAAGACUAAUCGAACCAUCUAGUAGCUGGUUCCCUC